AGAGGAAGUCCGGUGCGAAUCCGGCGCGGUCCCGCCACUGUCACCGGGCGGCGCACGCCCCGCGCGCGCCUCCCCCGGGAGCCAGGAACUC
rnacentral:ncRNA from 2 species